rnacentral:rRNA from 1 species
GUAUCCUGUCUGAAUAUGGGGGGACCAUCCUCCAAGGCUAAAUACUCCUGACUGACCGAUAGUGAACCAGUACCGUGAGGGAAAGGCGAAAAGAACCCCGGCGAGGGGAGUGAAAAAGAACCUGAAACCGUGUACGUACAAGCAGUGGGAGCACCUUCGUGGUGUGACUGCGUACCUUUUGUAUAAUGGGUCAGCGACUUAUAUUCUGUAGCAAGGUUAACCGUAUAGGGG